rnacentral:rRNA from 1 species
UACGAAGGGGGGCUAGCGUUGCUCGGAAUUACUGGGCGUAAAGCGCACGCAGCGGUUCGCCAAGUUUGGAGUGACAGUUGUCGGCUCAACCGACAAAGGACUUCAAAAACUGGUGAACUUGAGGACGAGAGAGGAACAUGGAACUCCAGGUGUAGUAGUGAAAUGCGUAGAUAUCUGGAAGAACACCAAUGGCGAAGGCAAUGUUCUGGCUC